AAAGACUUAGUCCUAACCUUACUGUUAGUUCUUGCUAGACAUAUACAUGCAAGUAUCCGCGCCCCAGUGUAAAUGCCCCCUACCUCUUACUAAGACAAAAGGAGCAGGCAUCAGGCCCACUUUACAGUAGUAGCCCAAGACGCCUAGCCCAGCCACACCCCCACGGGUAUUCAGCAGUAGUUAACAUUAAGCAAUAAGUGCAAACUUGACUUAGUUAUAGCAACGCCCUAUAAGGGUUGGUAAAUCUUGUGCCAGCCACCGCGGUCACACAAGAAACCCAAAUUAACCGUCACACGGCGUAAAGAGUGGCCUACAUCCUAUCACAUUGACUAGGACUGAAAUGCAACUGAGCUGUCAUAAGCCCAAGAUGCACAGAAACUCCCCCCUAAGAUGGUCCUAGCGCCAAUUGAUUAACCCUAGCCACGAAAGCCAGGGCACAAACUGGGAUUAGAUACCCCACUAUGCCUGGCCCUAAAUCUAGAUGUUUACUCACACCAAAACAUCCGCCCGAGAAUUACGAGCACAAACGCUUGAAACUCUAAGGACUUGGCGGUACCCCAAACCCACCUAGAGGAGCCUGUUCUGUAAUCGAUAACCCACGAUUCACCCGGCCCCUCCUAGCCAAAACAGCCUACAUACCGCCGUCGCCAGCUCACCUCCCUUGAAAGCCCCAAAGUGAGCACAAUAGCCCUAAUUCGCUAGCAAGACAGGUCAAGGUAUAGCUGAUGGAGGGGAAGAAAUGGGCUACAUUUUCUAUAAUAGAAAACCACGAAAGAGGGUCUGAAACAACCCCCAGAAGGCGGAUUUAGCAGUAAAACGGGACAAGAGAGCCCCAUUUAAGAUGGCCCUGGGGUACGUACAUACCGCCCGUCACCCUCCUCAUAAGCUCACAGCCCCAUAACUAAUGCCUAAACCAAGCUGAAGACGAGGUAAGUCGUAACAAGGUAAGUGUACCGGAAGGUGUACUUAGCACAC
rnacentral:ncRNA from 1 species